AACGCGAAGAACCUUACCUGGACUAGAAUGUGAGGGGAUAUCGGGUAAUGCCAGUAGUCCGGGAAACCGCACCCAAAACAAGGUGCUGCAUGGCUGUCGUCAGCUCGUGUCGUGAGAUGUUGGGUUAAGUCCCGCAACGAGCGCAACCCUUAUCAACAGUUGCCAUCAUUAAGUUGGGAACUCUGUUGAGACUGCCGUUGAUAAAACGGAGGAAGGUGGGGAUGAUGUCAAGUCAUCAUGGCCUUUAUGUUCAGGGCUACACACGUGCUACAAUGGAAGGUACAAAACGUCGCAAUCCCGCAAGGGGGAGCUAAUCGCGAAAACCUUCCUCAGUUCGGAUUGGAGUCUGCAACUCGACUCCAUGAAGUUGGAAUCGCUAGUAAUCGCAAAUCAGCAUGUUGCGGUGAAUACGUUCCCGGGUCUGUACACACCG
rnacentral:rRNA from 1 species